AUGCAUUCUGCCACUCAUUCAGUUCUUCUGAUCAUCUUAAUAUUCAGAGGGACCAAUGGUGACUCAGUGAACCAGACAGAAGGCCCAUUGACUGUCUCAGAGGGGGCUCUCAUGACCCUGAACUGCACUUACCAGACUGCUGAUUCAGCUCCCUAUCUUUACUGGUAUAUCCAGCAUCUCAACAAAGCUCCUCAAUUCCUCCUGAAGGGCUCGAUGUCAGACCCGAAGCCAAAGAGUGAAGGUUUUCAGGCCACUCUUGUUCAGAGUGACAGGUCCUUCCACCUGCAGAAACGGGCAGUGCAAGCAUCAGACUCGGCUGUGUACUACUGUGCUCUGGGUGACACAGUGGCACAGGGCUGCGGGGGAGCUGAGCGCAAACCCAGAGUGCAGAUGGGGCUCUGGCUGUGGGCAGCCCUGCAAGGGGGUUGCUGUUUCUGUCUUAGGUGUUUUAUGCUAGCUGUGUUGUUGUUUAUGUGCUAA